rnacentral:rRNA from 1 species
GCCGCGGUAAUACGAGGGGGGCUAGCGUUGUCCGGAUUUAUUGGGCGUAAAGAGUUCGUAGGCGGGUCAGUCAGUCAAAAUUGAAAUCCCACGGCUUAACCGUGGACCCGGUUUUGAUACUGCUGAUCUUGAGUGAGACAGAGGUAAGCGGAAUUCCUGGUGUAGCGGUGAAAUGCGUAGAUAUCAGGAGGAACACCGAAGGCGAAGGCAGCUUACUGGGUCUAUACUGACGCUGAGGAACGAAAGCGUGGGGAGCAAACAGGAUUAGAGACCCUGGUAGUCCACGCUGUAAACGAUGAGUACUUGGUGGUGGGGGAUUCGACCCCUUCACUGUCGGAGCUAACGCGUUAAGUACUCCGCCUGGGGACUACGACCGCAAGGUUGAAACUCAAAGGAAUUGACGGGGGACCCGCACAAGCGGUGGAUUAUGUGGUUUAAUUCGAUGCAACGCGAAGAACCUUACCUGGACUUGACAUGUUAGUGACACUUUGGUGAAAGCCAGGGCCUCUGCGAGCUUGCUCAAGGACACUAUCACAGGGUGAUGCAUGGCUGUCGUCAGCUCGUGUCGUGAGAUGUUCGGUUAAGUCCGAUAACGAGCGCAACCCCUAUCCUUAGUUGCCAGCACGUAAUGGUGGGGACUCUAGGGAAACUGCCCGGGAUAACCGGAAGGAAGGUGGGGCCGACGUCAAGUCAGUAUGUCCCUUACGUUCAGGGCUACACACGUAAUACAAUGGGAAGUACAGAGGGUAGCAAAACUGCGAAGUGGAGCCAAUCCCAAAAAACUUCCCCAAGUUCGGAUUGCAGUCUGCAACUCGACUGCAUGAAGCAGGAAUCGCUAGUAAUCGCGCAUCAGCAUGGCGCGGUGAAUACGUUCCCGGGUCUUGCACACACCGCCCGUC